rnacentral:lncRNA from 1 species
AUGUCUCUCCUAUUUAGAGCAAAAGGAAGAAAAGGAGGAAGAAUCAGGACACUACUGCUUCCUCAGAACAGGGUUCCUUGGCCCCAUCAUCUUCCAUUUCCCAGAGUCCAAAUUCACCUUCACACCCCUGGUCCCAGGAUGCAGCCCUGGCCCAAAGCCAAGCCCCGCACACUGGUCCAGCUGGCCAGUGCAGGGGUGCAGCCAUAGGAAAUAUGUCUCAGAACAGGCCAGCACCCCAGGACCACACAGAAGAAAUCGAUCUCCAUACCUCCACGCCCUCUGGGGACAGGGGCCUCUCCCAGAAGGUGUCUGGGCUGCCCACCUCUACCUGCGAAGCCCACUGUAAGGCUGAAGAUGCUGCCCAGGGGCUCCUGCUGCCUGAGUCCAAAGGGGACUCUGAGCCUCAGAAAGAAGCACAGAGGGCCAGGCAGCACGUGGAGGUCCCAGCUUCUGGGGAGGGUGAGACCAAGGACGGGUUGGCUGCUCCUGGAGAAAAACCAGGUGAAAACAACUCAGAGCCCAAAGACCCAAGGAAGCCAGAAGGGAGUGACAAAAAUUGCACAGCUGCUGUGACAAAGGAGAAGGAACAGAAAGUCAGGCCGUCUGCAAAGGCCAUCCCCGUGAGGUACCAGGCCACCCCACCCAGGGCCAGGACGCAGAGAGGCCAUCCGUGC